GCUGGCGGCAGGCCUAACACAUGCAAGUCGAACGGAGUNAUAUUGUAGCUUGCUAUGGUAUAACUUAGUGGCAGACGGGUGAGUAAUGUAUAGGAAUCUACCUAGUAGUACGGAAUAAUUGUUGGAAACGGCAACUAAUACCGUAUACGCCCUACGGGGGAAAAAUUUAUUGCUAUUAGAUGAGCCUAUAUUAGAUUAGCUAGUUGGUGGAGUAAUAGCCUACCAAGGCAAUGAUCUAUAGCUGAUCUGAGAGGAUGAUCAGCCACACUGGAACUGAGAUACGGUCCAGACUCCUACGGGAGGCAGCAGUGGGGAAUAUUGGACAAUGGGCGAAAGCCUGAUCCAGCCAUGCCGCAUGAGUGAAGAAGGCCUUUGGGUUGUAAAGCUCUUUUAGUGAGGAAGAUAAUGACGGUACUCACAGAAGAAGUCCUGGCUAACUCCGUGCCAGCAGCCGCGGUAAUACGGAGAGGGCUAGCGUUAUUCGGAAUUAUUGGGCGUAAAGGGCGCGUAGGCGGAUUAGUAAGUUAAAAGUGAAAUCCCAAGGCUCAACCUUGGAAUUGCUUUUAAAACUGCUAAUCUAGAGAUUGAAAGAGGAUAGAGGAAUUCCUAGUGUAGAGGUGAAAUUCGUAAAUAUUAGGAGGAACACCAGUGGCGAAGGCGUCUAUCUGGUUCA
rnacentral:rRNA from 1 species